GACGAACGCUGGCGGCGUGCCUAAUACAUGCAAGUCGAGCGGACCAAAGGGAGCUUGCUCCUGGAGGUUAGCGGCGAACGGGUGAGUAACACGUGGGCAACCUGCCUGUAAGACUGGGAUAACAUCGAGAAAUCGGUGCUAAUACCGGAUAAUAAAAAGAACUGCAUGGUCUUUUUGAAAGAUGGUUUCGGCUAUCACUUACAGAUGGGCCGCGGCGCAUUAGCUAGUUGGUGAGGUAACGGCUCACCAAGGCAACGAUGCGUAGCCGACCUGACGAGGGUGAUCGGCCACACUGGGACUGAGACACGGCCCAGACUCCUACGGGA
rnacentral:rRNA from 1 species